rnacentral:rRNA from 1 species
AACGAACGCUGGCGGCAUGCCUAACACAUGCAAGUCGAACGAGACCUUCGGGUCUAGUGGCGCACGGGUGCGUAACGCGUGGGAACCUGCCCUUAGGUUCGGAAUAACUCCCCGAAAGGGGUGCUAAUACCGGAUAAUGUCUUCGGACCAAAGAUUUAUCGCCUUUGGAUGGGCCCGCGUUGGAUUAGCUAGUUGGUAGGGUAAAAGCCUACCAAGGCGACGAUCCAUAGCUGGUCUGAGAGGAUGAUCAGCCACACUGGGACUGAGACACGGCCCAGACUCCUACGGGAGGCAGAAGUGGGGAAUAUUGGACAAUGGGCGAAAGCCUGAUCCAGCAAUGCCGCGUGAGUGAUGAAGGCCUUAGGGUUGUAAAGCUCUUUUACCCGGGAUGAUAAUGACAGUACCGGGAGAAUGAGCGCCGGCUAACUCCGUG